GAUGAAGAACGCAGCGAAAUGCGAUAAGUAGUGUGAAUUGCAGAAUUCAGUGAAUCAUCGAAUCUUUGAACGCACAUUGCGCCCGCCAGUAUUCUGGCGGGCAUGCCUGUUCGAGCGUCAUUUCAACCAUCAAGCCCCCGGCUUGUGUUGGGGACCUGCGGCUGCCGCAGGCCCUGAAAAGCAGUGGCGGGCUCGCUGUCACACCGAGCGUAGUAGCAUACAUCUCGCUCUGGGCGUGCUGCGGGUUCCGGCCGUUAAACCACCUUCAUAACCCAAGGUUGACCUCGGAUCAGGUAGGAAGACCCGCUGAACUUAAGCAUAUCAAUAAGCGGAGA
rnacentral:misc_RNA from 1 species